rnacentral:rRNA from 1 species
GAUGAACGCUAGCUACAGGCUUAACACAUGCAAGUCGAGGGGAAACGACAUCGAAAGCUUGCUUUUGAUGGGCGUCGACCGGCGCACGGGUGAGUAACGCGUAUCCAACCUGCCCACCACUUGGGGAUAACCUUGCGAAAGUAAGACUAAUACCCAAUGACGUCUCUAGAAGACAUCUGAAAGAGAUUAAAGAUUUAUCGGUGAUGGAUGGGGAUGCGUCUGAUUAGCUUGUUGGCGGGGUAACGGCCCACCAAGGCUACGAUCAGUAGGGGUUCUGAGAGGAAGGUCCCCCACAUUGGAACUGAGACACGGUCCAAACUCCUACGGGAGGCAGCAGUGAGGAAUAUUGGUCAAUGGACGAGAGUCUGAACCAGCCAAGUAGCGUGCAGGAUGACGGCCCUAUGGGUUGUAAACUGCUUUUAUAAGGGAAUAAAGUGAGCCUCGUGAGGCUUUUUGCAUGUACCUUAUGAAUAAGGACCGGCUAAUUCCGUGCCAGCAGCCGCAGUAA